CCUACGGGCGGCAGCAGUGAGGAAUAUUGGUCAAUGGACGAAAGCCUGAACCAGCCAAGUCGCGUGAAGGAUGACGGUCCUAUGGGUUGUAAACUUCUUUUAUAGGGGAGUAAAACGUUCUACGCGUGGGAUUUUGUAUGUACCCUAUGAAUAAGCAUCGGCUUACUCCGUGCCAGCCGCCGCGGUAAUACGGAGGGUCCGAGCGUUAGCCGGAUUUAUUGGGUUGAAAGGGUGCGUAGGAGGAUAGUUAAGUCAGUUGUGAAAGUUAGCGGGUCAACCGUAAAAUGGCAGUUGAAACUGGAAAGCUUGAGUGUGUUUGAGGUAGGCGGAAUGAGUGGUGUAGCGGUGAAAUGCAUAGAUAUCACGAAGAACUCCGAUUGCGAAGGCAGCUUACUGGGCCAUAACUGACACUGAGGCACGAAAGCGUGGGGAUCAAACAGGAUUAGAUACCCGAGUAGUC
rnacentral:rRNA from 1 species